rnacentral:rRNA from 1 species
UACAGAGACUGCAAGCGUUAUUCGGAUUCACUGGGCGUAAAGGGUGCGCAGGCGGCUAUGUGUGUAAGGUGUGAAAUCCCGGGGCUCAACCCCGGAACUGCGCCUUAAACUACAUGGCUAGAGUAUUGGAGAGGGUAGUGGAAUUCACGGUGUAGCAGUGAAAUGCGUAGAUAUCGUGAGGAACACCAGAGGCGAAGGCGACUACCUGGACAAUUACUGACGCUCAGGCACGAAAGCGUGGGGAGCAAAA